AUUGAACGCUGGCGGCAGGCCUAACACAUGCAAGUCGAGCGGAGCGGCGGACGGGUGAGUAAUGCCUAGGAAUCUGCCUGUUAGUGGGGGAUAACGUCAGGAAACGGGCCCUAAUACCGCAUACUUUCAAAUGAGCCUAGGUCGGAUGAGCUAGUUGGUGGGGUAAAGGCCUACCAAGGCGACGAUCCGUAACUGGUCUGAGAGAAUGAUCAGGCACACUGGACAUGAGACACGGUCCAGACGCCUACGGGAGGCAGCGGUGGGGAAUAUUGGAAAAUGGGCGAAAGCCUGAUCCAGCCAUGCCGCGUGUGUGAAGAAGGUCUUCGGAUUGUAAAGCACUUUAAGUUGGGAGGCGUUACCAACAGAAUAAGCACCGGCGAACUUCGUGCCAGCAGCCGCGGUAAUAC
rnacentral:rRNA from 1 species